AUUGAACGCUGGCGGCAGGCUUAACACAUGCAAGUCGAGCGGGGAAGAGUAGCUUGCUACUUUACCUAGCGGCGGACGGGUGAGUAAUGCUUAGGAAUCUGCCUAUUAGUGGGGGACAACGUUCCGAAAGGGAUGCUAAUACCGCAUACGUCCUACGGGAGAAAGCAGGGGACCUUCGGGCCUUGCGCUAAUAGAUGAGCCUAAGUCGGAUUAGCUAGUUGGUGGGGUAGAGGCCUACCAAGGCGACGAUCUGUAGCGGGUCUGAGAGGAUGAACCGCCACACUGGGACUGAGACACGGCCCAGACUCCUACGGGAGGCAGCAGUGGGGAAUAUUGGACAAUGGGGGGAACCCUGAUCCAGCCAUGCCGCGUGUGUGAAGAAGGCCUUUUGGUUGUAAAGCACUUUAAGCGAGGAGGAGGCUACCGAGAUUAAUACUCUUGGAUAGUGGACGUUACUCGCAGAAUAAGCACCGGCUAACUCUGUGCCAGCCGCCGCCGUAA
rnacentral:rRNA from 1 species